GGAUUGCACCAUCAGUGCGCAAUGUGUAGCGUCAUUUCACAGCAGUACAAAUACAUGUGUAUGAAGAGUCUGCUUUAUAGGGAAACUCGGGCCUUUGCUCGACGUUAGAAAAUAUUUAGUAAUAUUAAAAUCAGACGUAAAAACGUGCCUGUUCAGGCUUAAUGCACUUAUUAAUCGAAUGAAUCAUUUGGGCCAUGUAGGAUUUUUGAGAGGAGGACGAUUAUUCUCCCUGAUCUAUGGAUCCAGGUCUCAUAUCAGCGUUUGUGCAAACAUUCGAUCUCCUAUCAGUUAAUAAAGGUGCAACAAAUAGGACGCACGUUGUUAAUUCAGCGGGAAACCACCACGUGGAAGACCUUUGGGUCGCUGGUUGUUAAAGUCGGUUUAAAUGAAUACCCUGUACACUGCAUAUGGUACAAAUUUUGGUAAAUAAGUCGUUCAUGCCCAGUUGUUUGAAGACAGCUGUGGAGGCACUAACUCCAGAAUAUAGGAUUCUUAUUCUGCUACCUAUCUACUAAAUUAGGUUCUUUUGGAAUCGGAAACUAAUGGGAUGAGAAAAUGAGUUG